rnacentral:lncRNA from 1 species
GGGAUAUUUAGUACAAACGGGAUGAAAAUUAAAGAAAUUGAAGCAUACUGGCACUUUUGCAUGCAUUUUUGACAGGCAUGCAAAGACAUUUACAACAGACGCCGGUAGAUACGUUGGGUGGGGGCGACAUUCUGUAAGGUUCCAGCACAUUACCCUGAUCCAGGAAAUUCUGGCCACUACAUAAACGUGUUCAAGACUCCGACUACGCUGAAUAAUGGACAACAACAACUUGUUGAUAAUUUCUCCCCUAGAGCCAAUUUAAAAUGUUUUUUUUUAAAGACGGUGCCAUUUCAUCUGGCGCUAGUGAGGUGAAAGAAGCAGCAGAUCGGUAGUUUUGUUGAGGAG